rnacentral:rRNA from 1 species
CCUACGGGGGGCUGCAGUGAGGAAUAUUGGUCAAUGGACGCAAGUCUGAACCAGCCAUGCCGCGUGCAGGAAGACGGCUCUAUGAGUUGUAAACUGCUUUUGUACGAGGGUAAACGCAGAUACGCGUAUCUGUCUGAAAGUAUCGUACGAAUAAGGAUCGGCUAACUCCGUGCCAGCAGCCGCGGUAAUACGGAGGAUUCAAGCGUUAUCCGGAUUUAUUGGGUUUAAAGGGUGCGUAGGCGGUCGGAUAAGUUAGAGGUGAAAUCCCGAGGCUCAACUUCGGAAUUGCCUCUGAUACUGUUCGGCUAGAGAGUAGUUGCGGUAGGCGGAAUGUAUGGUGUAGCUGUGAAAUGCUUAGAGAUCAUACAGAACACCGAUUGCGAAGGCAGCUUACCAAGCUACUUCUGACGUUGAGGCACGAAAGCGUGGGGAGCAAACAGGAUUAGAUACCCUUGUAGUC